rnacentral:rRNA from 1 species
GACGAACGCUGGCGGCGUGCCUAAUACAUGCAAGUCGAGCGCGGGAAGCGAGUGGAUCCCUUCGGGGUGAAGCUCGUGGAACGAGCGGCGGACGGGUGAGUAACACGUGGGCAACCUACCUGUAAGAUCGGAAUAACCCCGGGAAACCGGGGCUAAUGCCGGGUAAUACUUUUCUUCGCAUGAAGGAAAGUUGAAAGAUGGCUUCUUGCUAUCACUUACAGAUGGGCCCGCGGCGCAUUAGCUAGUUGGUGAGGUAACGGCUCACCAAGGCGACGAUGCGUAGCCGACCUGAGAGGGUGAUCGGCCACACUGGGACUGAGACACGGCCCAGACUCCUACGGGAGGCAGCAGUAGGGAAUCUUCCGCAAUGGACGAAAGUCUGACGGAGCAACGCCGCGUGAACGAUGAAGGUCUUCGGAUCGUAAAGUUCUGUUGUUAGGGAAGAACAAGUACCGUGCGAAUAGAGCGGUACCUUGACGGUACCUAACGAGGAAGCCCCGGCUAACUACGUGCCAGCCGCCGCCGUAACAC